CCAUCCUGGGUCUCCAGGAUCGCGACCUGGGCUGAAGGCAGCGCUAAACCGCUGAGCCACCCGGGCUGUCCAAGAUUUUUAAAUUAGUUUGAGACAGAGGGAGAGAGAAAGAACACAAGCAAGCGGUGGGGAGAAGCAUAGGGAUGGGGAGAAGCAUAGGGAUGGGGAGAAGCAGACUCCCCACUGAGCAGGGAGCCUGAUGUGGGACUUGAUCCCAGGACCCUGUGAUCAUGACCUGAGCCGAAGGCAGAUGCCCAACCAACUGAGCCACCCAGGCAGCCCAUGUGCUGACAACUUUUAUUUUUUUAUUUAUUUUUAUUUUUAUUUUUUUAACUUUUAAAAUCAUUGUUGAUAGUACUAAUCAAUCCAGUUUCUUUCUUUUUUUUUUUUUUUUUCAAUCCAGUUUCUAAUGAAAUAUUCCAAAUCAACCUCAAGGCCAAACAUGUUCCAUCUGGAGAUGGAGCCAGGGAUGGAGACAUAUCAACCCAUCCAGGGAUAUUUCCCCGGCGUUCACUGAGUAUCACCGGGACCCAUAGAGAGGAGGAACACCCUGACAGGACUCCUUGCUCGUGGGCGGAACUCUGUCUAACACUGCUAUUGUGUUUGCUGCUUGGCAAAGCACGCUAA
rnacentral:lncRNA from 12 species